AUGAGAGUCAGCUCAGUGGGAAAGCAUCUGUUUUGCAUGCAGUAGGUUCUGAGUUCAAUGCCUGGUAUCCUCAGUUGUUGUU
rnacentral:tRNA from 1 species